rnacentral:lncRNA from 1 species
CACUUACCAUCCCUUACCUUGACUUUUCCAUUUAUUGAUUUCUUGGAAGAGGUUCCACAUCUAUGCGUGUGGAUCCAUUGCAUUCUUGUAACAGCCACAUCCUAAUCCACUAAAUGGAUUUACCAUAAUUAAUUUAGCACAUUUCCAGCACAGUCAUUUCCAAUAGCUCUUCUCUGGGAACUUAAUCUAAUUUUUACACAUUUAAAUGUAAUUACUGACUUAUCACAUUUGAAGCACAGACAGCCCCCAACUUAGGAUUUUUCGACUUCACAAUGGUGUAAAAGAGACACCAUUCAGCAGAAACUGCACUUGGAGUUGUGAAUUUUGAUCUUGUCCCAGGCUAGUAAUCCAUGGCCCGAUACUCUCGUGAUGCUGGGUGGCAGCAGCAAGCUCAGCACCCAAUCAGCCACCAGAUCAUAAUCAACAUACGUACAACCAUUCUGCACCCACAAAACCAUUCUGUUUUUCCCUUUCAGCACAGUGUUCAAUAAAUUGCAGGAGCUAUUCAACAUUUUAUUGUAAAAUACGUUAGAAGAUGCUGCCCAACUGCAGGCUAACACAAGUGUUCUGAGCACAUUUAAGGUAGGCUAGGCUAAGUGGUGAUGUUGAAAAUGUAUUUUCAACAAAUGGUAUUUUCAUCUUAUGAAGGGUUUUUUGGAACAUAACCCCAAUGUAAGUUGAAGAUCUAAUUAGUUGCUAAGGAGCCUUUCUUCAAGUCCUCUGGCGACAAAACUUUAGAACCUUGCUAUCUUUUUGGAAUAAGGCUUUCUUCUCAAAGAAAUUUAUGUUUCAAUUUGACAAACUCUAAAAGACUCAGCUGACCCCUAGCCCUUGCAUCUCGUAAUCCCCACAGCACUGGCCUCUUUAGCACCAAAAGGAACAAUCUUCACUCUCAAGAGGAGAAAAACUAGGACCUGCUAGUGCAUCACUGGAACCAGAAAUCACUGGACCUCACCACCAGCAAGAGGGGUUAGACACUUCCCUGGAGUCUGGUAGGAAACUGCUGGAUCCUGUGUUCUUACACACCACUCUGACCAACAAAAGUUCCUUCUCCAAGACCACACAGCCUAAACCCCCAGGGGGAAAAGAGGUGUUUCCUCUCUGCUCCUCCACUUCAAAGGUGGCUCACCCUCCAGGGUAGCACUUGGGAGCGUUUAUUUGAGGCUGAACUUUCAAAGAGCUUUCCUGCGUGUAAGAAUCUCCCCACAUGUAAGUUCCAUUUCCCCAAGAUCAAAUCCAGAACUCGAUUUUCCGCCUAGCAGCUGUUCACAGUGCACAGGAUGAUAAACCCAGGAUAGUGCAAAGCAAGGAAGCAGUUGUCACCCGGAACACUCUUUCCGGUCAGAAAGGAAGAGAGUGGCUGAGAGCCCUGAGCACCCCAGGCUGGCAGGGCAGCAGGGUCUCUGCUGAGUUCAUUCAGUUCUGUUACUCACAUCUCAGAAUGAAGACUGAUCAUUUACCUCAUCUUUGUUUCUCUUUCCCUCAUAGGCUCCCCACCCCCACCCCCACAACCGUAAAUUCAAUUUCACUCAAAAUCAGAGAAAUGCAAAGCAAAUAAGAGAAAUACCAUUUUCUAAUUACCAGAUUGGCAAAGAUGAAAAAGAUCGAUGAACUGCCUUCGUCUGAACAUGAGAAAACAUGCUUCUAGUGGGAGACUAAACCGUACAUUUACAAAGAGAAUUGGGCUACGAACAAUCAAGUGUGACACGCAAAACUCUCGACCCAUCGAUUUCACCAAUAUAAUUUAUCUUAUAGACCAGAGGUGAGCAAAUUUUUUCUUUAAAGGACCAAGUAGGGAGUUCCUGUAGUGGCUCAGUGGUAAACAAACCUGACUAGUAUCCAUGAGGAUUCGGGUUCCAUUCCUGGCCUUGCUCAGUGGGUCAGGGAUCCCGCAUUGCUCUGAGCUGUGGUGUAGGUUGCAGACAUGGCUGGGAUCCCACGUUGCUGUGGCUGUGGUGUAGGCAGGCAGCUAUUGCUCCAACUGGACCCCUAGCCUGGGAACUUCCAUAUGCUGUGGGUGCGGCCCCAAAAAGACAAAUAAAUAAAUAAAUAACCAGGUAGUAAAUAGUUUAAGCCUCCAGGCCAGAUAUCACAGCUGAAUAUACUCUGCUUCUCUGCUCCUCUGCUGUUGUGUCUUGAAAGCAGCCACAGACAUUAGGUCAACAAGUGGGCACAGCUGUUUUCCAAUAAAACUUUAUUUACAAAAACAAAUGGCAUGUUGAAUUUGGCCCGCAGGCUGUGGAGUGCCAAUCCCUGCUAGGUACCCUUGCACAAAAACCAAAAACUUAUAUACUAUAGUCUUCAUAGCAAUAGCCUGAAAUUGGAAAACACCUUGAUGUCUAUCAAGAGAGGACGAGAUGAGUAAAUUACAGCACAGCCACUCAACAGAAUGCUUGCAGCAACUGAAAAAGAGGGAGGCAGGUCUGCGUGCACUAAGGAUUAAUAUCCAAAAUUUAUUCCUUUUUUUUAAAGGUACCAAAGGCGAGGAGAGAGUGGGGUAGACUGGGAGUUUGGGGUUAGUAGUUGCAAACUACUGCAUUUGGAGCAGAUAAACAAUGAAAUCCUGCUGUAUAGCACAGGGAACUAUAUCCAAUCAUUUGUGAUGGAACAUGAUAGAGGAUAAUGUGAGAAAAAGAAUGUACAUAUAUGUAUAACUGGAUCAUUUUGCUGUACUGCAGAAAUUGACAGAACAUUGUAAAUCAACUAUAAUUUAAAAAUUUUACUCCUGUAUAGCACUGGAAACUAUGUCUGGUCACUUGUGAUGGAGCCUGAUAAUGUGAGAAAAAAGAAUGUAUACAUGUAUGUGUGACUGGGUCACUUUGCUGUGCAGUAGAAAAUUGACAGAACACUGUAAAUCAGCUAUAAUGCAAAAAAUAAAAAUCAAUUUUUACAAAAAAAUUUAAAUAAAAUGCAAGGUGGACAGCAGAGUAGAAUAUGUUACAUCUUUCUUAAAAUAUAUAGGUACAUACAUAUGUACUAUGCUUAUUGAAGCAUAGUAUAUAUCUUACAGACACAAAAGAGAUUGGGGGAGAACUAGAUGGCUGGGAAACAGUAUGAGGGAAACUUUUUGUGCCCUUUCGAAUCAUACCUUACGCUUUACCAGUGAAGGACAAAUAAAUACAAUUUUAUAUACAUAUAAAAUUGUCUUUUUGCUAUUUCUUGGGCCACUCCUGCAGCAUAUGGAGGUUUCCAGGCUAGGGGUCUAAUCGGAGCUGUAGCUGCCAGCCUACACCACAGCCACAGCAACGCGGGAUCCGAGCCGUGUCUGCGACCUACACCACAGCUCACGGCAACGCUGGAUCAUUAACCCACUGAGCAAGGGCAGGGAUUGAACCCGCAACCUCAUGGUUCCUAGUCGGAUUUGUUAACCACUACGCCACGAUGGGAACUCCAAUACAAUUUAAUUUUUAAUGCAUAUACUUUUUUAGUAGUGUUUUAGAUCACCAAGUAUAAGUCUCCAGACAGCAGCCCUAGCUGUUUCCAAAGUCUCCUCCAGUGCCCAGACUAUCUGACUGGGGCCCAUCAAAGAGCAUCAUAGUGGGAAUCAGGAGGUCUGGGUUCAAGUCCAGCCUCUGCUACCAGCCCUCUGUGCUGCCCUGGACCAGUCACCUCAUCUCUCUGAUCAUCCCUUUCCUCCUCUGUAAAAUGGAGGCAAUAAUACUUUUGAGCUUCCUAAUAUAAAAUAAUGUUAUUGUUUUGGAGAAAUAGCUUAAUGUCUCUGGGCCUCUUUGCUAAUCUACAAAAUCAGAAAGUUGGACAAAAUGAGCCUUUGACUGUCAAAUACAUCAUUCUGAUAAUAAACAAACUUGUCAUUUGUAAGAAUUCAGUCAGAACCAUGAACCUGGCAUGCAAGUGAGGAGCUCCUUUUGUUUAUCUCAAGGAAAUGACCUCCAAGUCCACAAAGAAAAUAAGAUAAAUGUUUGCACUUAGAGAUCCAGUCCAGACUGCAGGUGGGAAAGAGCUGCCUUACUCCAAGGACCCACCUCUUCUUUCCUUCUUUCCCAACAAAGGCAACAGUUGUCAGCCAGGCAACUUCUUUUUUGGUUUUAAGUUUCCACUGGGUACGAAACAAACCCUGUUGGAAAAAAACUUAGGAAAUGUCACUCAUAAAGAGGAAUAGAUAAAUUAAUAAUGUCAAGUAAUAGACUCAGGAGGGCUGACAAAGAAAUGGAGGAAUCCUUCCACCCCCCCACCCCCGCACCCCAACUUCUGGCCUCUGCUAAGAGCUACCAUUUGCAUUGUUACAGGAAUUCCAGAGAGAUGACAGGGUGGUGACAAGGCAGAGCAGCUUUGCACUAUCCUAUUUCUGAGAAUUUCUGGUUAUUGUUAAACAAAAGUUUGGAGAAGUUAAACUGACAGGAAAAAACACACGGGUUGAGUUAUAAGGUGGCAAAUGUUGUGAAACCCAUUUUCAGAACAUUUCAACUGCAUGACAGUGUGCCGAUGUGAUAAGGAGCAGAGCUCUCAUCACCGUCUCGGAUGCUGGAAGACUCUUCCCUUUCCUUCCUCGGUUCCGUGGCCUUGGGAGUAACUACCAGCUGCUCUGAAAAGAAUGUGGCAAAGGCUCUUUGUGCCCCUAGCUUCAAAGAACGUUUGACUCGGAGUUCCCAUUGUGGCGCGGUGGAAAUGAAUCCAACUAGGAACCAUGAGGUUGCAGGUUCGAUCCCUGGCCUCGCUCAGUGGGUUAAGGAUCUGGCCUGGCUGUGGUGUAGGCUGGCAGCUGUAGCUCUGAUUAGACCCCUAGCCUGGGAACCUCCAAAUGCCACAGGAGCGGCCCUAAAAAAAAAAAAAAAAAAAAAAAAAAAAAA